rnacentral:lncRNA from 1 species
UUUGUGCUGGAUGUUUGAAGUAAUUGGAGUAGGAUUAGGACAGAGAGACAUUCAAGGAGGAAGGUCUCUCUAAACAUGAUUUUCGAUUGCUGGGCAAUGACUUGCGUGUGUGUGUGGAUAGAAACUACUAGGGGAAAGACUAACCUAUGCUUCUUAAACUAAGGCUCAGCGUACUGCAAGGGCAAGACUAGUCUUUUUCAUCAUGUGUGAAUGCUCGAGUCUUCUUUCCAUGGACUCGUGAUAUACAGGGAUUUGUAACCAUCAGAAAGAGACACUGAAGCUAUGACCAAAUCAACCUUCUGGUGGUAUUUUGGAAAGCAAUACGUAGUUUCUGCUAAUCAAUUAUUACAGCAGUCAAUUCAAAUGACAACUUCACCAAGGAAAAGCCUAGGCCACAAAGCUUUCGUUUCCCAACAGUUAUUUGAAAUAAAUUUUGUUCUAGUGACUUGAUCAAAACAAAUU